CUUAGUGUACCUAGUCUACUUAAUCAACACUUAGUGUAUUUAGUGUUUCAGCUUAGUGUAGAGAGGCUUCUUUCUUCCUUUUCUGGAGGAGUCAGUGGUUAGAGACGAUUUCCGUGGUUAGAGCGUACUUGGUCUUUAGAAGACGACUUUGGUGUCCAUUGCCAACCCCAUCAGAGAUCGCAGGCCUUUUCCCCUCAGUCCCAGCUCAUCAGCAAAGGUCUGGGUGGCUGUCUCCAGAGGAGACUGAACGAGGUUGUCAAAGCGGCUGGAUCAAAAGUGUUGCCAUGUCGGAUGGAGUGGUGUCCACGAUGAACCUGAGCAUGGAGAUUUCUCCCUCUGCGCUGAGGAUCUCACUGUGCACCUCCAGCCCUGGGUCCUGGUGGGCUCUGGUGGCCACUGGAGUCUUUGGAACUGCCUCCCUCUGGCUCUGCUGGGGUUGGAUUCGGGCAUCGAUGUCACACCCAGCAGGAACAACUGGGGCCACUGGAGGAUCCCCAAG